CACCAAUCUCCUGCUUUGCAGGACACUAUUGUCCACCUGGAACUAUGUUCCCCACCCAGUACAAGUGCCCUGUGGGGACAUGGAGCAGUCAGAGUGGAUUGGAAGCUGAAAGUCAGUGCCAGCCAUGUCCACAGGGCUGGUACUGUCUGGCCGGAUCUGGAGCUCCGUCGGGUCGCUGCAAUUCUGGACACUACUGUCCUGAAGGUACUCAUGAGUGUGACACAGGGACUGCAUACGGCACCCAGUUUCCUUGCCCUGCAGGUACAUACAGCAUUAAAAUGGGCAACAGAUACAGAGAAGACUGCCUGAUUUGUCCCAAAGGCUCAUUCUGUCAAAAGGGCACCUCCAAACCUUCACCCUGCCCCCUUGCCUCAUUUCGCCAUCUGAAAGGAGGUCGGAGGCUGGAGGACUGCUCUACCUGCCCAGCCGGUUAUUUUUGUCCCCACUCAGCCACUGUGAACCCCAGAGUGUGUGGAGCUGGCAGCUAUUCGGACGAGGGCUCUGUGGAGUGUUCUCCAUGCCUUCCGGGCCACUACUGCAGUAAUGAGACCACGAGCGAGGAAGCCAUGUUGAGCGUCAUGGUGUGUCCCCCGGGCCUCCUCUGCUCUCAGGGUUUGGCCCGAGACCCCCAGCGCUCAGCAACCCUCUGUCCUCGAGGCUUCUACUGCCCCGGAGGAGGCGUUGAGCCCAACCCCAUUCCUUGCCCCAACGGAACCUACAGCGACGCUCCGGGUCUGCGUGAGGCCAUCGAGUGUGUCCAGUGUCCCAAGGGGAAGUACUGUUACUCCCAGCAGCCUCAGGAGCAGCCCAUUACCACCCCUACAGCUGUGUGUCCUCAUGGACACUAUUGCCCGCAGGGGACCGGCCACCCACACACCUUCCCCUGUCAGGCCGGCCAGUACAGGAACAACACACUUGGUCACAGUGGAGCGGUGUGUGUUUUAUGUCCAGCCAGGCAUUACUGCGACAGACAGGGAACUCACAGACCCUCAGUCUGCCCUCAGGGAUUUUAUUGUCCGGAGGGCACUUCUGCUCCUGAACCUUGCCCCGAGGGAACCUACAGCUCUCGUUCGCUUCUCGGUGACGGGGCUGAGUGCUCCCCUUGUGGCGGAGGCCAGUAUUGCAGCACCGUGGGACUGUCACAGCCGUCUGGAAGCUGCAAAGAACGAUACUACUGCAGAGAGGGAGCCAAAUCUCCUACUCCUGCGGAUGGGCCGACAGGAGGUUUGUGUCCAGCAGGAAGUUACUGUCCUCUGGGUUCGUCCUCUCCCUUCCCAUGUCCCCCCGGCACCUUCAGCAACAGCACCGGCCUCAGCAGACCUGAGCAGUGUGUCAGCUGUCCGCCAGGUUUUUAUUGUUUAGGUUCCAACAACACCUCUCCUUCGGGUCCUUGUUUUCCUGGUUUUUAUUGUACCGGUGGCUCAACUUCGCCAACUCAGAACGAAGCAGAGGAGGGUUUUUAUACCCCAGAGGGGGCCGCCAGGCCACAAGCCUGUCCUCUUGGGACUUUUCAGCCGCGUCAAGGUGCACAGUCAUGUGUGGAGUGUCAGGGAGGCAGACUGUGUAACCAGACGGGCUUGUCCCAGCCUACACAGUGUCCCACGGGACACUACUGUCCUCCGGGGUCCUCUGUUGCUCGACCCUGUCCUCCGGGCUCUUAUUCGGACCAGCCUGGUGGCGACGCUGUGCAGUACUGUCGGCCAUGUGAGGCCGGUUGGUUCUGCAGCCGAGCCGGUCUC
ensembl:lncRNA